rnacentral:sRNA from 1 species
GUGUGAAGGCUGGGGAGGCAUAAUUUUAAAGCAGGAUGGAGGAACUCCUGCAGGCAGACAGGAACUUGUUGGAAUUCUCCAUCCGUUCUCAUCUCAGUGCCAGGAUAAUUGUCUUAAAUUUAGGCAGAAUGGCUUAAAUGCUGUUACAGCUGCCUGGUGACUUCCUGUUUCUCCCUUUUGUCGUCUAACUUAAUGAUUCUCAAACUUUAUGUACAUAAAAAGUCCUUCUCAGGUUUGCCUCCACAAAACUGCGCUCCUGUUCCCACAUGUGACUUAGAGGUCUUGAGAGGUAAUUUUCCCUUGCCCACUAACUUUGAAGCCUAACGGGGCACCAUAGGAUAGUCCUUUGGGGAUCACUGAGUGAGCGUGGCAGGAAGGCAGCAAGGGUCUCGCCACACUGGCAUACUGCUCAUUUGCUUUGUGAUGAGGGGACCAGACGGCAGAUGAGUGGAUGCUGCGGAGACGGCCCGUCUAACCUGCAAAGCAUGUGACAGUGUUACAGUUGUAGCUGAAAGGGAGAAAUGUGGCAUGGCCUUCAUAGGACAGCAGGGUUGAUUGGUCACUUGCUCCAUCACAGCAUCUGAAGACAUCAGUUCCACCUGGUGAUGGGGCCUCUCAAGUUGGGCCAACAGACUCUUCCCUGGGCCCUGUGCUGUUCAGCACUGUUUUUAUAGUCACUGCUCUGAAAUUAAAACCUCAGUACCCCAAGUACUAGCAAUGCAUUAGAUGAUGGAACCAGAAGCCAGGAAGCCCUCAACAGAUUAGAAUCAAGAGACAAACUAAACAGAUGAUUUAGUAGGAGAACUCCGAAGUUGUGGUUCUUCUGUGUCCUAAGAGAGCUGACCACCAGCCAGAAGUCCAGGCCCAGCACCAACCCCACACCUCACUCUCUGCUCCCUGCCUUGGUGCCUGCCAUCCACCUGCUCUGCUGCCAAUAGAAAGAUCUGACAGAAAGUCAGCCCUGUUACUCUUUGCCUAAAACCUUCUGCAGGUCCCAUUACCUUCAGGAUGUCCCCUAAAUUCCUCAGCAUGACUUGCAGCGCUUCAUGAUUGGGAAGGCAGCGGGAGAUGAGGGGUGAUGGGUAAUUCUUUUCAUUUUAUAGUGUUCUGUAGGUUUGAUUUUUUUUCUUUUUUCUUUUUUUUUUUUACCAUGAGCUAAAGAUACUCUUAGCAUUGAGAGAGAGAGAAAUGCAUCUUGUCCUGGUUUCUUUCAUCCUUUGUCUGAUGGCCAGGAGCUUGUCAUGACUCAUUUUGUCUAACUUCCCCAUCUCACUGCUCUGUCCCCUUGAGGUCAGUCUCCCCUUGCCAAGGAGUGAUACUGUCACAUCCCCAAAUGAAUCUUUCCUUUUAAUCAGCGCUCAUUCAAAAGCAGGUGAGAAUGGCUCCUGUCAUGCACCCACAUUUCAUAAUUUGCACAUUUGGUAAUGAUGCUGGGAGAGCUUCGCACAGAGGAGAGGGAACCCCGAAUUGUGUGCAUAAGGCUUUGGGCUUCCUAAUGGGCUGUAAUUCUGCUCUUGGCAGGACGGCUACGAGCAGCUUAGGCAGCUCUCCCAGCACGCCAUGAAGGGGGUCAUCCGUGUGAAGUUUGUCAGUGACCUUGGGGUGGACGAAGCAGGGAUUGAUCAAGACGGUGUAUUUAAGGAGUUCUUGGAAGAGAUCAUCAAGAGAGUGUUUGACCCAGCACUCAAUCUGUUCAAGACAACCAGUGGGGAUGAGAGGCUGUACCCCUCACCCACAUCCUACAUCCAUGAGAAUUACCUGCAGCUCUUCGAGUUUGUGGGGAAGAUGCUGGGGAAGGCUGUGUAUGAGGGAAUUGUGGUGGACGUGCCAUUCGCAUCCUUCUUCCUGAGCCAACUGCUUGGGCACCACCACAGCGUCUUCUAUAGCUCGGUGGAUGAACUGCCUUCUCUGGACUCUGAGUUCUAUAAAAACCUCACCUCCAUCAAGCGCUAUGACGGGGACAUCGCUGACCUGGGCCUGACGCUGUCUUACGACGAGGACGUCAUGGGUCAGCUUGUUUGCCAUGAACUGAUUCCUGGAGGGAAGACCAUUCCUGUUACAAAUGAAAAUAAAAUUAGCUACAUCCAUCUGAUGGCACAUUUUCGAAUGCACACUCAAAUAAAAAACCAGACAGCUGCCCUCAUUAGCGGAUUCCGUUCCAUUAUCAAACCCGAGUGGAUCCGAAUGUUCUCAACUCCUGAACUGCAGCGUCUCAUCUCUGGCGACAAUGCUGAGAUUGAUCUGGAAGAUUUAAAGAAGCACACAGUCUACUAUGGUGGUUUCCAUGGAAGUCACAGAGUCAUCAUCUGGCUCUGGGAUAUUCUGGCCUCCGACUUCACACCGGAUGAGAGAGCUAUGUUUCUGAAGUUCGUGACCAGCUGCUCCAGACCCCCGCUCCUGGGAUUCGCCUACCUCAAGCCUCCCUUCUCCAUCCGCUGCGUGGAGGUGUCGGACGAUCAGGCUGUGCACGUCCAGGCUCGCUGCUUCAUUUCCUCACUGGCCAAAGGAGGAAUGCCUUCAGGGUUACGGAGCUCUGUGUGUCCCAAGCCUGGCCCACUGUGGGUGCUCAAAUGAGCGUCCUACUCCCCAUAAAAACCCAGUGGCCACCUCUGGGUGUAGCUGCCUCUCAUGAUGCAGUUUGAGCCCCUGAUGCCACCUUGUACAGGGAGCUACACAGUCCUCGGCCUCCAUGCUUAAGGGAAAGUUGGCCCAAGUCAUGGUCUGCCACCGGCCACAGCACCGGUGAGGAGGGAGGAGCGCAUUCAGAAAUGUUUGGGCACCUAACAGAGUUUUUACAGCAUUCUACUUUUUGACGAUUAACCAGUAAUGCGCUGUGAACCGGAAGGCCCGAUUUCCAAAAGCUUACUUAGUGCAGGAAUUCUCUGUGCAAGCCCCAGGGAGAAGGGGUUCCUUCUCUGAAAGCCAGUCAUCUUGUGUCUGGGGCUUGACCUCAGGUAGUGGUGCCAGGGCAGUGCCCUGCACUCUGCCCAGCAUCCAGGGACUGGCCAGACCCCCUCCCUGGGCUCCCUGGCUUUGGCAUCUGCCUGGGCUCCCAAACUAGGCCCUUCCCAAUCCAAGGCCAUGAUGUGUGCCUUCAGGACACUGGGGACACUCUGGGCAGCGUCCUCCGGGGCUUCUUCACCAUCCGCAAGCGGGAGCCAGGCGGCCGCCUGCCCACCUCCUCCACCUGCUUCAACCUGCUCAAGCUGCCCAACUACAGCAAGAAAAGCGUCCUCCGCGAGAAGCUGCGCUAUGCCAUCAGCAUGAACACGGGCUUCGAACUCUCCUAGCUCCUGUUCCGGCCCUGCCUCCAGGGCUCCUGGGCUGCCAGGGACCUUCAGCUCCCAGAGGCAGUGUGGUCCCUGGGAAUGUGACCAACAUGCCAGGUGACGUUGGCCCCUAGACCCUCUCUAUAGCCAUGAGACUCCUUGUGGCCUCAAGAACUUUAGACGCCCACGACAGCACUACACAGCACCUCCAGGUGAUGCCCAAGGCACAGGGCUGCAGAAAAUAAACCUCCAGAUUCCACCAACACCGGUCCAUUCUUCCUGGUGAUGGCAGAGGGGCUUCUUUUAGCUAG